rnacentral:rRNA from 1 species
AUUAGAGUUUGAUCCUGGCUCAGAUUGAACGCUGGCGGCAUGCCUUGCACAUGCAAGUCGAACGGCAGCAUGAUCUAGCUUGCUAGAUUGAUGGCGAGUGGCGAACGGGUGAGUAAUACAUCGGAACGUGCCCUGUAGUGGGGGAUAACUAGUCGAAAGAUUAGCUAAUACCGCAUACNACCUGAGGGUGAAAGUGGGGGACCGCAAGGCCUCAUGCUAUAGGAGCGGCCGAUGUCUGAUUAGCUAGUUGGUGAGGUAAAGGCUCACCAAGGCGACGAUCAGUAGCUGGUCUGGGAGGACGAUCAGCCACACUGGGACUGAGACACGGCCCAGACUCCUACGGGAGGCAGCAGUGGGGAAUUUUGGACAAUGGGCGAAAGCCUGAUCCAGCAAUGCCGCGUGUGUGAAGAAGGCCUUCGGGUUGUAAAGCACUUUUGUCCGGAAAGAAAUGGCUCUGGUUAAUACCUGGGGUCGAUGACGGUACCGGAAGAAUAAGGACCGGCUAACUACGUGCCAGCAGCCGCGGUAAU